CGUAGGAGGCAAGCGUUAUCCGGAUUCACUGGGCGUAAAGCGCAUGCAGGUGGCGCGGUAAGUUAGGCGUGAAAUCUCCCGGCUCAACUGGGAGAGGUCGUCUAAUACUACCGUGCUUGAGAGCAGAAGAGGAAGAUGGAAUUCCCGGUGUAGUGGUGAAAUGCGUAGAUAUCGGGAGGAACACCAGUGGCGAAGGCGAUCUUCUGGUCUGUUUCUGACACUCAGACGCGACAGCUAGGGUAGUAAACGGGAUUAGAGACCCCGGUAAUCCUAGCCGUAAACGAUGUGAACUUGGCGUUGGUGGGUUAAACUCCAUCAGUGCCGUAGCAAACGCGAUAAGUUCACCGCCUGGGGACUACGGCCGCAAGGUUA
rnacentral:rRNA from 1 species